rnacentral:lncRNA from 1 species
AGGAAUGAAAUUUCUAUUUAUCUCAACUUAAGUUGUGCCAAAUUAUUCAAAUCAUGAUAAGUUGACAUUUCUACUAUGUCACAGGGGUUAAUAGAUGAGGAUACCUUAGAAUAGUUUACAUCAAUCCUCUUUCUCAGAAGGGGGUGCUUGUUUUACUCUAUUGCCAAAGGUGUUCAUGUCAUGACGUUAUACAAGUGUAAGGAUCAAUGGUCAUGGUCACGAUUAGGUCUUAGGCUUUGACCUGGACCUUGACCUAAAUUUGGUUUGGUCCUAGUCUAAUCUGGAACUCAAACCUUGUCCUAACCUAUGAUUUAUUAAUUACUAUAUUAUUUUUAAUUAAAUCAAUUUAUAUACUUGUUGGUUAGUUAAAAUUAUCUAAAAACUAUCAUCUACAACAGAAAAAAAUAUUGAUAAGAAAUUUUUUUAUUAUUUAAAAUUAAUUAAUUAAAAAUAAUUUAUCAAAUCAAAAUAUAUAAUAUAUAAAUAAGUAAAUGAGCUGCUCUAUGGGACAUCAUCUUAAGUAUUCAUUUGGCCUAUUUCUAACAUGUAUCAAUUAGUGGGAAGUUGAAAUGCGUGCAAAUGUAGUCCUCCAAUUUCCCUUCUUAAGGUACAUGCCGCCUUUGGCCUCGAUGUCAACUCCACAGUACCUAUUAGUUCUUUCCCUGCUUCGUCUAAUGGGCUCCCUAUGAGCCAAAGGGUUUGUCAAUGCAGUUGACCCAUGGCGGGUGAGUAUGGUCGUCUAAUCCCUCUAUGUAUCAUUCUUCACAUCAAGUAAUUUUCUCCUAUUCUCAUAAUACAACCAAUGGUGUGAGGUGGUUGUUUUGUGACUAACGUGAGUCCAUGAGGGAGAUAGUUGACAAUCACAAUCUUAUCAUCCCAGGUUCUUGUCAAAAGAUCUACAAAGUCGUUGCCCCAUCUCCUCAUGAAGCAAUCAGCAAUUGACAGCCUGACACUAUCGGAAGCCAAGGCACUAAAACUAAUGGGGAUCAAAUGACGAGAUCCCGCACAUCCACGCAUCCAACACGUCCGCCAUCAGUUACGCUACAAUGAAGAUCAGGCGAAGAGAUCCAACGCAUCCACGCCUUCAGCGGGCUUACUCGUCGGUUACGCCAUAGUUUACUUCUUUGAUUAUUUUCUAGUAGCUAUAAGUAUCUCAAUGUAGGGGUAAAAUGAACACAGAGAAGAAGAAUUUAGAUUUGAGGUUUACCUAUUUCACUCUGCAAGGAGAGGCUGUGAGGGUCAUCGCUCCGUAACGAGAGGCUGUGAGGGUCAUCGCUCCGUAACGAGAGGCUGUGAAGGUCAUUUGCUCUGCAAGGAGAGGCCAUGAGGGUCAUUUAUCCAUCGCUACCACCAUCCUCCACCGUCCAUCCUCACCACCCGUUCGGUCCAUCGUCGCCGUUCGCUCGUCACCAUUAUCC